GUUCUAUAAGAGAGCGUGUGCCGAAGGCCUCGGCCUUUCACAUUCGGGAAGCGUCGGGAUUAGGUGAAAGAAGCUGAGCUGAACACAUUACGAUGGAUGAUGGAAACAUAAGACUAUCAAGAAAUCCAAGUGGUAAUGGGCGAAGUUUAUUCAGCAUCCGGCAAUGGACUUAUCGUAGUUGGGGAAACGGGUGUUCCGAAUAAUAUCCUGGAAGUUAUCAGGACACCUAUUUUAAAUAUAGGCCUGAAUUUUGUAAAGUAAUAUUUAAGGUGGUCCGUGAUAAUUAAAUAAAAUGCUUAAUUCAUGUGGCUAC
rnacentral:lncRNA from 1 species